rnacentral:lncRNA from 1 species
UAGAAACUUGCUACCCAUGACUACAUCACUAUAUGAAAUGCCAGUUAUUCAGAAAGGAAAUACAAACUGGCUUUGUACCAGAAAUGCUACUAAAAGUCAUUUGAAUGAUCACCGACUCCCUUACUAAACAGACCCUGGGCGUAGUAAAGAACAGCGGCUGCUCUCUCAGAGGACCUGGGUUUGAUUCCUGGCACCCACCUGGUGGCUAACAGCAUGUAACUCCAGUUCUCAGGGAACCCAAUGUCAUCUUCUGGCCUCUGUGGGCACUGCACACAUGGUACAUAGACAUACAUACACUCAUAACAUCUAUACACAUAAAAUAAAUCCUGAAAAUAAAAUAUUAAAAACAACCACCUGCCUUCCUGAGACAUUUCAUCCUGGAGUGUCUAUGCUGAGUCUGUGUGGCAAGGAGCCAGUUGUAGCAUCCAAUUCUGCCCCCAGAUUAUAUGCUUAUACAAUUGCAUUGGUUUCUUACAAGAUCAGCAUCCUGAUGUCCAGGCUUCUCAGUCCUUGUUGAGAUAGAGACGCACACGUGGGGGAGCCAUUAGGGUAGACAGUGGUUGUAACGGUUCCUGCCAUGGGACAGUGCUGGAGCAAGGACAGCUAAUCAUAUCCAGCUCACCACUUAGACACACCAAGGCAGCCAGGAAAAUGCCCAUGACACCCAAAGAUCGUUAUCAGCCCAUAUGCCAGCUGUGCUUUGUGAGUCCAAGUGAGGGCCAGAUGUCUGAGGCAAUCCUUUUUGGGUGUGAGCUCUUAAGUUCCUGAUUGUAACUGUGUGUCUGGCCAGAGCAGGCAGAGUUCAGGGUGGAAACUAUGUGUCUCCUUGAAGUUACUGCCUUUCUCUCUGGCCAUGGUGAGCGGGGUCCAGCUGGAUGCCCCUUUAGUUAACUAACUCUCGGCAUCUGUAGUGCUUUCUGCACUGGUAUCUCCAAUCGCUCCCUGACCCAUAGUCUUCCCUCCGACAAGCAGAAAGCUGUGUCUGAUCCCCAUUCCCCUGUGCAGGACCCUCUAGGGCAGCCUUUGGCCAUGGUGCACUUUGUGCCCUCUGCCUGUUGCCCAGCUGCCACCAUCGACACCUUGUGCUGUGACUCAGGGCUUUCCUGCCUUAGUGGCCCGUGCUGUUCACAGCACUGACUUCUAACCUCUGCCAGGAGUAGAACUGGUGAACUCAGCUAGAUCUGCUCCUAGCAGCAGCAACCAUCCCUUGGAAUUCCCGGUUACGAACCAGAUCACUGUACAUUCCCUUAACAAACAGACUGCUGGCGAGACGUGCUUUAGGCUGUAGCAGGUCAUGCUGUGGAGUUCUCCGGACAUGCUGGUUUACCAGCCCCAGUUUAGGGAGUUCUCCGGGCUCCGCGGGGGGUGGGGGUUGGUGGGGGGACACUCACCAGAUAACUGUCCAGAAGAAGUUCUUAAGGAUGCUUAAAAUGAAAGUUGGAGCCUGUCAGGAAUAAUUCGGAAUGCUGAUGGCUUUUCCUGUGGAGUCACAGCACAUUUCCUUGGUUAACUAUGAUGUGAACCUCAACACGGUUUUGAGGGAUUCUUUAGUAAGAAAUGUUGACAUUUCUGCCCCCCCCUCCCCCACGCUGAAGCAGUUUUCCUGUGUGGUACUCACUAUGACAUGAUCUUCACUACGUAGUCCAGGAUGGCCUCAAGCUUGAGGGUAGUCCUGCCUCCACCUUCAGAGCGCUGGGAUACAGGCGUGUGCCACCAUCCCCUGCUGAAGGGCUUGAUGGUUAAGUCUCUCUGACAAAGUAUUUUUUCCUUUUAAAAUAUGACUUACUGCUAAGUAGAAUUGAAUUUACUAAGAUGUUUUUAUUUAAAUAAAUUUUUGCUGAAUGCUGUUUUCUCAUGAUCUGUUUUAACAAAUACAACUGUAUGGUGAUAUAUAGUUAAUCAGAUUGAUUUAUUUUUAAUUAGUUAAUUUAUUAAUUGGUUUGAGACAGGGUCUCACUGUAUAGCUCUGGCCAUCCUGGGACUCAAUAUGUAUAUAGAGCAGGCUAGCUUCCAGUUCACAGAAGUCCACCUGCCUCUUCCUCCAAGUGCUGGGAUUAAAGGCAUGCACUACAAUAUAUGACUUUCAACUUGACUUAUUUCCAUCUUAACUUUAUUUUAUCUCUGUAUUUUAUGCAGAUACUACUACUAUCUGUUUUUCUAAAGCUUCAGAUGUUUUUAUUCAAAGGUUUACAAAAGGAAUAAAACAGAAAAAGCUAACAAUGUGAUCAAAUGUACAGUUCCAAAAUGGCCUUUGGGGCUUUAACAGUGAGUCCUAGGAAGGAAACUGCAGUCAUCCUGACCUCGUAGAUAAGUCUCCUGGCAAGGGGGUAGUACCCGUAGAAUGCUAAAAAUUAGCUCUUGAUCAUGUACUUCACUAUGAAAAUCUUUUUUAAAAAAUCUGUAUAAAAGGUCUUUAUAAAUCAAUUUUUAAAUAAUGGACAUCCACUAUGUGAUAUG